CAGAGUGUGUGGCAGGUACAACAAACUUGAACUGUCUAAUAAGCCUCAAAGCUGUGCAGAGGCAAGUGUACACCUGCCAGGCAAAGUGCACAGAGUUUAGAACAUCUGUUCUGACCAAGUAGUAGUAUAUGUUUGACCAUAUCCUUCUCCUCUGAUAAUAACUUUGGGCUUCCUAGAUGCUCGGUAAAUCCAUGUAAGUGAAGGAAUACAAUUUCUUCACCUUAAUCUUGACCUCACACUGAUCCAUCCUCGCAGUAAUUGGGGGAGGUGUACUUACCUGGCAUUCACCCUCAUAUGGCUAGUGAUCAUUUUAUAAAAUAUUGAGGAACAUAAUGUCCCUCUUGAAGAUAUUCUUGUAUUCAAACCUUAUCUGAGUGAGUAAUUGAGGCAAUCUAUUGAGAGCCCCAGUAUAUUGGAUCACUUUUCAAACUGUUCAGACACCUCCAUCUGGGAACUGUUUCUCUCUACACCUGUCAAUAUUAGAUUAGUUUUAUCUUUUUAGGGUUUCAUGCAAAAGGAAUCAUACAGUGUAUUUUUGUGUGGCUUUUUUUACACUCAGGAUAAUGAUUUUGAGAUUCAUCCUAUAGUUGAAUACCAGCAAUGAAGGAACAGCCUCACACAGGGAGAAACAACUGCUUAUGAAAUCAAGGGAGACUCAUUGUGCCCAAUGAGUUCAGCUAUAUGUGAAUCCAAAUACAUGUAAUCAUUCCAAUUUCCAGGUUCCUAGACUUCCCAGUUCCCAGUAAAUGUCCCAAAUCUCAUGUAAUACACCUCCUCAAAUUGUGGAUCUAAUAGUUAUUGUAAUUGUUUGAAGAAAUAAUGUCCAAAACUUCCCAAAGUUGAUGAAACAAUGUUAAUUUACACAUCCAAGAAGCUUACUGAACUCCAAGUAGGAUAAAUACAAAGAUAUAGUUUUACCUAGACACAUCAUAGUCAAACUGUUGGAAGCCACACACAAAGAGAAAAUCUUAAGAAAAGAGAAAAACAACUGAACAUGUACAGGAGAGCAUCAACAUAAAUAAUAUCUAACUGCUCAUCAGAGAAAAUAGACCCUAGAAGGCAGUGAAAUGGCAUAUUCAAAAUACUGAAAGAAAAAAUGGUAACGAAGAAUUUUUUUAUCCAGCAAGACUAUCCACUAAUUAUAAAGGUGAAAUAAGGACAUUCUUAAAUUUAAAAGGACUGGAAGAAUUUCUUGAUAUCAGAACUGAAUUGUGAGAAAUACUAAAGGAAAUUCUUUGGGCUGGAAGAAAAUGACAUCAGACAGUACCUCGAAUCAGCUGGAAGAAAUUAAGAGAGCCAGAAGUAAUAAAUUUCUGGGUUUUAAAAAAAAGAAUCUAUAAAUAUAUUUUCUCAUUUCUUCUGUUAAAUUCUUUAAAAGACAUGAGAUUGUACAAAGAAAUAAUUGUAACAUUCUAGUAUUGGUUUUGUAACAUAUAUAGAUAUAAUAUAUAUAAAAACAAGAGCACAAGAGGGGAAAGUAACAGAAGAACAAAAAAGCCUGAAGACACAGAAAACAAAUAGCAAAAUGGCAAAUGUAACUCUGAUCCUAUCAAUAACUGCACUAAAUGUGAAUGGUCUAAAAAAAACAAUUAGAAGACAGAGAUUGGGAAAAUGAAUAAUAAAGCAAGAUCCAACUGUACGUGAUCUACAAAAGACACAUCUUAGAUUCAAAGACAAACAGAAGUUGAAGCUAGAAGGAUGGAAAAGACACAUCACACAAAUAGUUACCAAAAGAUUGCUGGAGGGUUGUGUUAAUACUGGACAAUGUAGAUUUUAAAACAAGAAAUAUUAUUAGAAGCAAAGAGGGACAUAUCCAAAUGACAAAAUGUCAUUAAAUCAGAAAGAUAUAAAAAUUAUCAAUGCUUACAAAUGUAACAACAGAGCUUCAAGAUACGUGAAGUAAAAUUUGACAGAAAUGAAAGGAGAAAGAGACAAUUCAACAAUACUUGGAAAUUUCAACUGCCUCCUGUCCAUAAUGGAUUAAAAAGAGGAAAGACAAUCACCAAGGUUAUACAAGACUUGAACAGCACUAUCAACCAAAU
ensembl:lncRNA